AUGAAAUCUCUGCUUCUUUUCCUUUCCCUGUUCUCCGCUCCCAUCUGUGUCUUCUCUCAAGUGCAGCUGGUCCAGUCCGGCCCAGGAGCGGUGAAGCCAGGAGAGACCCUUACCCUGACCUGUGCUGUCUCCGGGUUCUCCAUCACUACGCAGCAUUACCAUUGGCACUGGCUUCGGCAGCCCCCCGGGAAAGGGCUGGAGUGGAUGGGGUAUGUGUAUCCAUACAAUGGCGGGGAGACAGGCUACGCCCCGUCUCUCCAAGGCCGAGUCACCAUCUCUGCAGACACCUCGAAGAACCAGGUCUCCCUGCAGCUCCGCUCGCUGACGGCUGCAGACACCGCCGCCUGUUACUGCGUCAGGAGGAGAAAUUACACAGUGCCACAGAGCAGAGCAGGGACUGAGGGCAGCACGGUGAACACGAGCCGGUCCAUCAAAAGAACCAAAGACUUGUGA